UGUUCUGAGAUGCAGCUUCUCCAUACAACCCGUCCGCCCGUCUCCUGAGUGCCGGCUGGGGGUGCCUGUGCAGUGUCCGUCUGUGUGUCACCCCAGCUCACCUGAAGCCCUGGCCCAGACGUGCAUUCUUAGGGACCUCUGGAAAGCUGAGACUCAGAGGGAGGCUUGUCCUGAAGCUGCAGCUAUCUCCCGUGGUGUUGAAUGCCAGAGUUCCUGUCCCGGAUAGAUUUGCCUGGGAACUGCCUGAGACUGACAUUCUGAGGAUGCUUUGCUGAGAAAGUCCGAGAAACAAAGGCAAGCACCAAGCACGAUCUAAGGGAAAGCAGGAGGGAUAAACAAAAAGAAAGAACAAGAAAAGUGGAGAAAAGCAGGACAUAACUUGGCCUGUGGUCUAGUCAAGACGGUGUUUCUGCGAGUCGUGUUCUAACAGGCUUGCGCCGCGUUGCAAUUACCGUUGUUUGGCGUGUCAGGCCAGAUGCAGGUCUCGUUCUACAUUUCAACGUGAAUAAGAGCUGCUUUUAACUGCUCUUAAUCUGCCAGCCUUUUGUGUUUUCUCAUCAAGAGGAGGAUAGCUUGCCCUUUUGCUUUUGCGUUAACAAGCCCCAGAGAGACCCCAAGGGAAGCCACACUGCCCUCUCACUGCCUGAUCACUCGUCACCAUCCGUGUGGUGGAUUUCGUUACCGUCCCCAUAGGAUGCCUAAGGAAGGAGCCUGGGCAAUGCAUGAGAGACCAAAUAAUACCUACACCUUAAGGACAAGCUGCAGAGAAAUGCCAUGUUUGGGGUCUGGGAUGUCAGCUCUUCUCCGUUGGUGCACAGAUAUCUCAGGACGCUCUCUGAGGCAGCAGUUGGCCAUCCUGGUGUCAAAAAAUCUGAGAGACUUCUCAGUGAAAUUGGUGUUUAUUUAAAAACUGCCCUUGGUGAUUCUAACGUGACAACCAUCAGUCUAGAUGCACAUCGAAGCCAGUGGGUGAGGAGGGGCCGGGUUAGCUGAGACACAGGCCAUACUUUAGCCCACCGGUGCCUCGGAGCCCCACCCCGCCCAUCUCAGCCUCAGAUUUCCCUCCCUUGACUGUCUGCUCCUCCCUCCUCCACCCAGGCACCCGCCACUUCCUCCAGUGGAAACCUCUGCAUUCUUCCAGCGUUCCUCCCUCCUGGGCUGCACCCUGAGGCCUUCAGGUCCCCUUCCUUCCAGCCUCGCCUCUUCCCUCUGCUGCCAUAGAACCUUCCACACCCUUCCGCCACCCUGCACCACUGAUGCUCACUUUGGCUUCUGCCAGCUUGUUCAUCCCCUCAACCCCACCACCUGAUCUUCCCUCUUUGAGACUCAGUGAAACAGAGUGACAGUUGGGGCAAACUGCUCAAGCUUUCUGGGUCUCAGCUUUUUGAUCUGUGAAAGAGGAAUAAUUCACAACAUCAUGGGAGUUUUCCGUGAGACCACGUGUGAUGAGCUGGUGUGUAAUAACCCUAGACAAGGCCCAGAAAUCUGCAUGGUGGUAUGGACUACACUGAGAAAUGCUGGUGAAGACAGUGGUUCUGCACAUGGCUGGGCAUCAGAAUCCUCUGGGGAGCUUUAAAGACAUUCAGGUGCUCAGGCUGAAUCUGAGCCAGUCUAGGUGGGGUUUUAGCAGCCCCACAGGUGAUUCCAAUACGCAGCCAAAGUUAAGAGCAAAGGCUUUGAGGGCAGCAAGACUGGGCCGUACUGACUUGGGGCCAGUUGCUAACCUCUGAGCCUCAGUUUCUCCAUCUGAAGAAUGGGAAUAAUGUAUACUUUACUGUCUGGUGAUGCAGGUUGGUUGAGAUAAUUCUGUACAAUGGUCGGCAUGGAGCCUGGCACACUGCCCUCUGUUGGCUGGGUUUGGGAGCUGGCAGGGGUGGGGGCGGGGUACAUCAGAGGCUCUGGCAGACCGAGCCCCUCUCAGGAGCCCUGGGCCCACCCAGAGCACCCCGGCCCUCUGGGAUCCAGGCUCUGCUGUCCCUGGCUGCUCUGGUCCCAGCAAGUUUAUGAGUCAGGUUCCGAGCAUGAUUCACAGGGGCCGGAGCGGGGAGUUCAUGCCAAUGAUCCUGUUUUAAAGCAUUUAAUGCAAAAUGCUAUUCGGUUUAAAAAAUUAGUAAUGAUUAAAUGAAAAAGA